ensembl:lncRNA
GUCUCCAAAGAUAACUCUCCUCCCGGAGCUGGUCAGAGGCUGAGCAUUCCCCCAGCCUGUGGCAGGAGGAUGCAGGGCCAGCCCGAGGGCCACGGGAGGCUCUCUGCAGGUUUCCUGACAGAGCAGAGAGAGGCCUGGCUGAGGUGAGCGGCCCAAGAGCAAGCAGUUGAGCGCAGGAGCUGCAGACCCAGACGGCCUGGGCCUGAAGCUGGGCCCCGCCACCUUCCAGCCACAUCUCUGCACGGUUCCUGGGACAAAACAGCAACGCAUCUAGUGGAAAGACAUGGAAGGGAGACAAAGCCAGCUUCGGUCCUGGCGGUGCCAUCUUGGAGUCAGGUGCUGGUCAGAUUCUCGGAAGGGCUGGAGGAGAGAGAUUCAGGAGUGCCACACUAGCCCACUCCAGAACUGCAGGUUUGUCCCCAUGGCGGCGGUCCCAAAGAUCAGGAAGCUGUUGCACUGCCUGGAGUCUGAAAACUGCGGAAACCACUGUUGACGUUCACAGCUGGCCAGCAGCCCUGAGGCAAGAGCCUGGCUGGGAGACAGAGAAUCCACUGGAAAAACUCAUGUUGCCAGAGCACAUGCACCUGCCACCAUGAUGGCGGAGAAGGAGUGGCUCUGACCUCCUCUCUGCUUCCAAGUCUAACUCCAGGGCAUCUCACUGGCAGAACUAAAUACCCAGCACUCUGCAGACAAGUGAGUCUGGGAACCAGCUUCUGGAGCUCCUCAAUAGGAGAGAGCUCAAGGCGGGUGAACCGCCCUCCCAUUGGACUCGCCUGGAGCUCUCUCUGGAAAUCCACUUCCUAACUUUCCGUUUCCGAUCUUUGACGCCCUCACUAAGGAGGAGGGACUCGUGUGACUGGAUUUGGGAGAGCUCCAUGGCAAAUCCUGCAGAUAGUCUCCGGCCUUCUUUGAAUGACGUGUGGAUUUGUCC